GAAGCGGGACUGAACUUCAACCAGGACGUUUAUCUCAGUUGAUUCACCCAUGCUGGUGUUAAAACUUCUGCUUCAUGCACACUGUUGAUAAAUUAAAAACAAAUAAAGAAAAACAAAAGCAAAGUUAGGAGAGUCAAUGAUGGUGACAACUCAAGGGAACUGAGAGAUGGCUCUAGUGAUUUAAAUAGCUUGCAAAGCUCGGGCACGAGGCAGCAAUCGCAACAAAAACAACUAAUUUACAGCAGAUUAUAAACUUCCCAAAAUAUUCAGGACAUCAGCAGGGCUGAGUGUAAAAGCAGGAUGACCAGUCCUAUUGUCAAGCCAUACUGGGCAACAGGAGGUGUGUCUGGCCUGCCCAGCAUCAUCUUUCCCCGGGAGUAAAGUGGGCCAACAGAAAAGUACUCAGAACAGCCUGAAAGUGAAGCCUGGGGAUGGAGUGACUCUUCACUCCCUGAAAGGGCCUGUGUUACAGGCAGAAGAUGUGCAUCUCUCCACCAGGGCUGAAUGCAUUGAGGAGUACUCUCGGCAGUGGAUCCCAGCCAUCGGACCUACAAUUAAUGGGGACAGGGACGGUCACUUUCCAGGACCUUCAGUGGGCCAUGUCGGAGGUCAAACCAGGUGCCAUGAGGCAGGUCGCCAUCGAUGUCCCCAAGGUGCGCUGGUUGGAUGUGGGAGGCAUGGAGCAGGUGAAGCCGAAACUUAAGCAGGCGGUGGAGUGGCCUCUCAGGCACCCCGAGGCCUUCACCUGCAUGGGCAUGCAGCCCCCAAAAGGAGUACUCCUCUAUGGACUCCAGGCUGCUUCAUGAUCACCAAAGUUCUGGCCAAUGAGAACGGCCACAACUUCCUUGCCUUUAAGAUGAUGAUCAUUCAAAGUUUGAUUGUUGCCUGUUAUCUCCACCAGGUGGCCAAUUUACAGGCAGGGAAGAGUCCUUUUUAAUCUUUUCUACACCUACAGGGUUCCCUAAAUCCCACCCCUAUAAUGCAUACUUUUGUAAUGCAUCAGUUUUGCAGUUGCAUUGUGUGCAUUGCCUUCAAGCACAGUUUCUUUUGUUAUGGCUGACAUGGCAUGGACCUUUUGACGUUUCCACAACUAGGGAGAUUCUACAACUAUACAACAUACUGUACUUAGCUAUGGCCAGUGAUUUCCCACCAGCAGCCAUUGUCUUGGCUUCACCCCAGUUAAAAAACAGGGAUGUGCCCCUGAUUAUCUCAAGGACCUCAGAAUCUUUGGCUUCCUUGGAGGCAGACCUACAGGCCUUCUCACUUGACCCCUCCGACCCCAUGUUUGUCCUUUUCAUUCAUCACCCCAUCCCGUCUUCUCCCUUCUCUCCCUCCACCCCAAUUCACAACUAUCCCCUACACCCCUCGCCCUGCUCUGUCCAGGCCCCUUGAUGGAGAUUGAUUGAUCACUUCACUGAUUGUUAAUUGCCGAUUCUUUUGGAAGUGGUUGCCGGGUAAGAUGGGGCAGAAACUGUCAGCCAGCCUGAUUGGGUCAGUGGUAAAAGAUAGUGGAUAGGCUGUAAUAUAACGAAGAAAGACUUACCUUUUUAAAGAGUGCUUACAGUGUAAAAUUCUCUUAAAGGUUUUUCUCAUAGAUGCCAUUUGUGAAUAACGUCCAACCCAAAUUGUUCAUAUUAUGUUACACUUGAUAGUUAAGCAAAAUAAAGUAGUAAGAAGUUGGCUAAUACUUUUUCAAUGACAAAAUCAUAUUAUUUUCCCCCAGUGUGUUAGCUUUGCCUCUGACACAUUACCCUUGCUUCACUAUACUUUUAGAUGCAUACUACUUGCGUCGUGUACAGUACAACUCUAACACUCUAUCAAAAUAUUUUCACACGCCAAUAUGACUGCUACUCUAGCCAAAUAGAAAUGUACCUACAUAGAAUAUAACCCUCCCAGUGAGUAGCUGGUUAGAGAAAUCAACAGAUUAAUGAGUCAGUUUCCACAACGUUGUCGUGUUCUGAGGAGACAAAAGGUGUCGUCUCCCUGCCAGCCCAGAGGUGUUGAAGAGGGGGGAUUGCAGGGGAGGAAGUGCGUCCUGACGGGCUGAGUGGAUGUUUAUCCGCCUCGGAGGGAGGGAGAGUGCAGAGUGGCCCCAUCAACCUUUACUUACCCUACCUCCUUUGUCCUCUCUGCCUUCCUUCUUCAUGAUCAUUUUUCCCUCUCUUCCCCUCUUCCUCUUAAAUAACGACCCCUUUCAUCUCUGAGAGAUUUCUUGGCGGGUUGUCAAAAAGUUCUCAGUGGUUUGUUCAUUGAGGUGUGUUCCUGUCCGAUAUUAAAUAGUGGUCUAGUUAGCUUGUGGUUAGCUAGGUUAAAUGUUAUUGAGCGUGUAUUACUAGUGUUAUAAUGAUGUGAAUGAAUAGUUAUAGCCUACUGUAUAACUAAGGGUCCUCGUACGGAAAUCUCCUGGUCCUAUAAUGAAUCACUGGACAGGAGAACCAACUUCCCUCUCGGUCUUUCAGGGUCCAGAGUCCCUGAGUAAAUAUGUAGUGGAGUCUGAGAGGGCUGUCAGAGAGGUGAGUACCAGGCCAACUUUCAUUGUCUAUCAUAUACCCAUUACACUAGGAACAUAAGUACUAAUUCUGCUGAGAGGAAAUUGCUUUAAUAUGCUACACUCUUAAUGUAUAUGCAAUUACUGUAUAUUAAUACCUCGCGUAUGUCGAUACCAGGUCAGAGCUGUCACCCCCUCCAUUGUGUUCUUUGAUGAGGUUGUCGCUCUUACUGGAGAUCGAGGAAGGUAGAUAUUUUGUCUCAGAAAUGAAGUUCAAAACUUUUUCUACCUGAUAAACAUAAUACUGCAGACUUGAUGACCACGACACGGCAGCUGCUUGCAAGCACACAUCUUAUUCUGAAAACUGGCACGUAGCACGUAUCAAGCCUCAAUGAAUGGGAAAGAUAGGCACCAUUUUUAAUCAUCAGCCUAGUUCAAUACGCUGAAAGGCAUGUAUUAUCCCCAAUUACUUGUUGAAUGACUGAACGUCUACAUUACCACAAUGAUUUACAUUAUCAGUGUAAUUAUUGUACAGUGUAAAGCCGGCUGUGGAGUUCCCAUGGAGUCAGUCCACUACUGCUUUGCUAUCAACGCACGCACGCACACAUACACUGACACACAGACGAGCCAGUCUGUCCGGAGGCGCUUCAAUGGGAUGACACUGGGAACAUCUGUGGCUUCAGGAAAAGACACAACGGCCAGAGAGAGGACACAGGCCGCGACAAACAAGCGUUUCAUUGUGUACUCCACAGCAGAUGGGGGAAGCCAAAUAUUAGGCGUACUUCCCGGUAAACCCCCAUGAAAGUCAAUGGUGAAGGAACAGACAAAAGAUCCCUCCAGAUAUGGUACAAAUGUGGCGUACCCUCAAGCCUAAUUGGCCAGGGCCUGGGAUGGGUCACAGUGUCCUUCCUUAACAAAAUCAUUUUGCCAUUAGUGCAUGUAGGGUGACAUUUUGUAUCUGUUUACUAGGACUGGGAAUUGCCAGGGACCUCACGAUGCGAGAUUAUCAUGAUACUUAGGUGCCGAUAUGUAUUGUGUUUCUCACGAUUCUAUAUGUAUUGCGAUUUGAGACCGCGAUUUUAUUCUGAGUUGAUGUUCCAAACAUAUUGCUUACUGUAUGUCUGCUGCAGACAGACGAGACAGCAUGAGAGGCUACAUAUCAGAGUUGGGGGUCAACUUAAGUCAACUCUGGAAUGGACUGGAUAUAGUGUUCGACCUGACAAAAUGCCCCACUUCCAGUGGCGAUCUUCUCAUCUGAAUUCCAUGGAUAUCACUGAAUUGACUGGAUUUGAAGAAGUUAUUUGGCCACGACUCUGCAGUUGCCUUUCAUAAGGACUUGAUGCAGGGGAGUCAGUCAGUUCACUGCAGCAGAGCUCAUAUCUCCAUUUAAAAAAUGCACUUAGCAGUGAUCUAUAAAGGUUAUUUAUUGGUCUUAACUUCCCGCAUUUAAUCAAUGAAGUGCCUUCAUUGCUCAUGAGCUGGAAUUUAGCUGUUGACACGGCCUGGGCUAGUGGGCUAGAGAUGGAAGAGUGAUAUUUUGUGUUUUCUUUUCUUGACGUGAAGCACCAGUAAAUCUUCAAGCCUACCUGCCAUAACUGCCCAAAUCUGUUGGAAUGAGUUAUCUGAUAGUGAGAGAGAAAGACAGAGAGCGAGACAGUAGAGAGUCUGAGACGGAGAGACCGACAGAGCGAGAGACAGACAGAUUAAGGGGAUGACGGAGGCAUUGGGUCCAGAGAGACAGACAGAGAGACCGACAGAGCGAGAGACAGACAGAUUAAGGGGAUGACGGAGGCAUUGGGUCCAGAGAGACAGACAGAGAGACCGACAGAGCGAGAGACAGACAGAUUAAGGGGAUGACUGAGGCAUUGGGUCCAGAGAGCGAGACAGUAGAGAGUGAGACGGAGAGACAGACAGAUUAAGUGGAUGACUGAGGCAUUGGGUCCAGAGAGACAGACAGAGAGACCGACAGAGCGAGAGACAGACAGAUUAAGGGGAUGACUGAGGCAUUGGGUCCAGAGAGUGAGACAGUAGAGAGUGAGACGGAGAGACAGACAGAUUAAGGGGAUGACUAAGGCAUUGGGUCCAGAGAGCGAGACAGUAGAGAGUGAGACGGAGAGACAGACAGAUUAAGGGGAUGACGGAGGCAUUGGGUCCAGAGAGACAGACGGAGAGACAGACAGAUUAAGUGGAUGACGGAGGCAUUGGGUCCAGAGAGACAGACAGAUUAAGGGGAUGACGGAGGCAUUGGGUCCAGAGAGACAGACAGAGAGUGAGACAGUAGAGAGUGAGACGGAGAGACAGACAGAUUAAGGGGAUGACUGAGGCAUUGGGUCCAGAGAGACAGACAGAGAGUGAGACAGUAGAGAGUGAGACGGAGAGACAGACAGAUUAAGGGGAUGACGGAGGCAUUGGGUCCAGAGAGACAGACGGAGAGACAGACAGAUUAAGUGGAUGACGGAGGCAUUGGGUCCAGAGAGACAGACAGAUUAAGGGGAUGACGGAGGCAUUGGGUCCAGAGAGACAGACAGAUUAAGGGGAUGACGGAGGCAUUGGGUCCAGAGAGACAGACAGAUUAAGGGGAUGACUGAGGCAUUGGGUCCAGAGAGUGAGACAGUAGAGAGUGAGACGGAGAGACAGACAGAUUAAGGGGAUGACGGAGGCAUUGGGUCCAGAGAGACAGACAGAUUAAGUGGAUGACGGAGGCAUUGGGUCCAGAGAGACAGACAGAUUAAGUGGAUGACGGAGGCAUUGGGUCCAGAGAGACAGACAGAUUAAGUGGAUGACUGAGGCAUUGGGUCCAGAGAGACAGACAGAUUAAGUGGAUGACGGAGGCAUUGGGUCCAGAGAGACAGACAGUGAGACAGUAGAGAGUGAGACGGAGAGACAGACAGAUUAAGGGGAUGACGGAGGCAUUGGGUCCAGAGAGACAGACAGUGAGACAGUAGAGAGUGAGACGGAGAGACAGACAGAUUAAGGGGAUGACGGAGGCAUUGGGUCCAGAGAGACAGACAGAUUAAGGGGAUGACGGAGGCAUUGGGUCCAGAGAGACAGACAGAUUAAGGGGAUGACGGAGGCAUUGGGUCCAGAGAGACAGACAGAUUAAGGGGAUGACGGAGGCAUUGGGUCCAGAGAGACAGACGGAGAGACAGACAGAUUAAGGGGAUGACGGAGGCAUUGGGUCCAGAGAGACAGACGGAGAGACAGACAGAUUAAGGGGAUGACGGAGGCAUUGGGUCCAGAGAGAAAGCACGAGAGCGAGAGAAUGAAAGAUUGAGAGGGCAAGAGAAAGAAACCAAGCCUUGGAUGAGAGGCAGAAGCAUCCAUGGCAGAUUUCUCUCUUUGUCAUGAGGCAUUUCCCCUAUUCCUCCCAGGACCAUUACUCACUGACAGGCCUCUUUUGUGUUCCUCUGUGGCCUUCUCUGUGGUAAUGACGUGUGGCACAUACGCUGGCUCUGUGAACAGAGACAGUAAGAGUGUGUGUGUGUGUGUUUUUGGUUUUACUGUCCUUGUGGGGUCCAGAAGUCCUUACAAGAAUAAUAAAACAAGGACAAUUCUGGCAAGAGGGGACAUUUCACUGGUCCC